UACGAAGGGGGCUAGCGUUGGUCGGAAUCACUGGGCGUAAAGGGUGCGUAGGCGGGUCUUUAAGUCAGGGGUGAAAUCCUGGAGCUCAACUCCAGAACUGCCUUUGAUACUGAAGAUCUUGAGUUCGGGAGAGGUGAGUGGAACUGCGAGUGUAGAGGUGAAAUUCGUAGAUAUUCGCAAGAACACCAGUGGCGAAGGCGGCUCACUGGCCCGAUACUGACGCUGAGGCACGAAAGCGUGGGGAGCAAACAGG
rnacentral:rRNA from 1 species